rnacentral:ncRNA from 2 species
GUCAGUGGACGAGGGAUCGGUUCUAGCUGAGGAACAGUCGCUAGAGGAAACGGGGAAAGGUCGGUGCAAGUCCGGCGCUGUCCCGCAACUGUGAUGCCAGUCUUCCAGCCCCUUCGACCCUGGGGUUAGCCUGUUUUGAGGUUAGCUUUUCCAGGUUGAAGCGCUGAAGCCUGCUAAGUCAGGAUGCCCGCCGAUCGCCCAUUCAUCGC